AAAUAGGAGGUCACUUCUUCAAGCUGCUCCAAGGGUGAGAAGGUCUUCUUUAAGCAACCUGGCUCGUGGGUUUUAUCGGCAAGGGCAUGAAUAUUUAAGCUUGGAUAGUAAUGAAUAUUCUCGUAACUCGAGCUCCAAGUUGCAGCAUCUAGCAUGGCAUCCAGCCGAAAACUUGAUAGCCUGUGGUUCUGGAAAUAGCUUGUUCUUGUAUCACGCGUAGUUUCCUCCUGUAUAGACAGACGUAAAUAUAAUGGAAUCCAAAUCUAGUCAGGAUAUAUUUGUUAGAAAUCACAUAAUUAGAACUUGGAAAAAUAAAAUACAUGAAAUUUCUCUCACUCCUCUCUUGAUGUCUUUGUCCAUAAAAUCAAGGAGGAGAUAGAUAUUAAAUGAAUAGGAUUACGACAUGGACAUAGGAACUCUCUUAACAGACUCUUCAAUAAAGAGUUAGGUCUUACAUUUA